UACGGGGGGGGCAAGCGUUGCUCGGAAUCACUGGGCGUAAAGCGCACGUAGGCGGACUCUUAAGUCGGUGGUGAAAUCCUGGAGCUCAACUCCAGAACUGCCUUCGAUACUGAGAGUCUCGAGUCCGAGAGAGGUGAGUGGAACUGCGAGUGUAGAGGUGAAAUCCGUUGAUCUGUAGAGUACCACCAAAAGGCGAAGGCAAUUAACUACUCCAUUUCUGACGUUGAGGCAUGAAAGCGUGGGGAGCAAACCGG
rnacentral:rRNA from 1 species